rnacentral:rRNA from 1 species
CCUACGGGAGGCAGCAGUGGGGAAUAUUGGACAAUGGGGGCAACCCUGAUCCAGCCAUGCCGCGUGUGUGAAGAAGGCCCUCGGGUUGUAAAGCACUUUCAGUGAGGAAGAACGCCUGGUGGUUAAUACCCAUCAGGAAAGACAUCACUCACAGAAGAAGCACCGGCUAACUCCGGGCCAGCAGCCGCGGUAAUACGGAGGGUGCGAGCGUUAAUCGGAAUUACUGGGCGUAAAGCGCGCGUAGGUGGCUUGAUAAGCCGGUUGUGAAAGCCCCGGGCUCAACCUGGGAACGGCAUCCGGAACUGUCAAGCUAGAGUGCAGGAGAGGAAGGUAGAAUUCCCGGUGUAGCGGUGAAAUGCGUAGAGAUCGGGAGGAAUACCAGUGGCGAAGGCGGCCUUCUGGACUGACACUGACACUGAGGUGCGAAAGCGUGGGUAGCAAACAGGAUUAGAUACCCUUGUAGUC